rnacentral:rRNA from 1 species
CCUACGGGAGGCAGCAGUGCGGGAAUAUUGCACAGUGGAGGAAACUCUGAUGCAGCGACGCCGCGUGAGCGAUGAAGGCUUUCGAGUCGUAAAGCUCUGUCCUAGGGGACGAUAAUGACGGUACCCUAGGAGGAAGCCCCAGCUAACUACGUGCCAGCAGCCGCGGUAAU